GUGGGGAAUAUUGGACAAUGGGCGCAAGCCUGAUCCAGCCAUGCCGCGUGAGUGAUGAAGGCCUUAGGGUUGUAAAGCUCUUUCAGUGGGGACGAUAAUGACGGUACCCACAGAAGAAGCCCCGGCUAACUUCGUGCCAGCAGCCGCGGUAAUACGAAGGGGGCUAGCGUUGUUCGGAUUUACUGGGCGUAAAGCGCACGUAGGCGGAUCGUUAAGUCGAGGGUGAAAUCCUGGAGCUCAACUCCAGAACUGCCUUCGAUACUGGCGAUCUUGAGUCCGGAAGAGGUGAGUGGAACUCCUAGUGUAGAGGUGGAAUUCGUAGAUAUUAGGAAGAACACCAGUGGCGAAGGCGGCUCACUGGUCCGGUACUGACGCUGAGGUGCGAAAGCGUGGGGAGCAAACAGGAUUAGAUACCCCUAUAGUCC
rnacentral:rRNA from 1 species